rnacentral:rRNA from 1 species
AACGAACGCUGGCGGCAUGCCUAACACAUGCAAGUCGAACGAGACCUUCGGGUCUAGUGGCGCACGGGUGCGUAACGCGUGGGAACCUGCCCUUAGGUUUGGAAUAACUCCCGAAAGGGGUGCUAAUACCGGAUAAUGUCUUCGGACCAAAGAUUUAUCGCCUUUGGAUGGGCCCGCGUUGGAUUAGCUAGUUGGUAGGGUAAAAGCCUACCAAGGCGACGAUCCAUAGCUGGUCUGAGAGGAUGAUCAGCCACACUGGGACUGAGACACGGCCCAGACUCCUACGGGAGGCAGCAGUGGGGAAUAUUGGACAAUGGGCGAAAGCCUGAUCCAGCAAUGCCGCGUGAGUGAUGAAGGCCUUAGGGUUGUAAAGCUCUUUUACCCGGGAUGAUAAUGACAGUACCGGGAGAAUAAGCUCCGGCUAACUCCGUG